rnacentral:misc_RNA from 1 species
CACGGGUAAUUUGUCGAAGGCGUUCGCAAAAGUAAUUUAUAGUUGAAUUUCUUAACGGAAUCUCGUAUCCGUGUAACAAAGUGUUACACAAUUGUUACGAUGUUAUCUGCGAGUUGCAGCUGCAUGAUUUGCCACAUUGAUGGUCGAAGAGAGAAACUUUCUCCGAUAACCGUUGGAAAAUGACGAGGGGAAAACGAGAAAAGACGAAAAGAACAUGAAAUUUCCCACAAUCGUUCGAUGUGAAUAUAACAAUGUUCAACAAUAGUCUGUAUUCAGUGAAUUAAACAUCUAAUCCAAAAAUGCUUGAAGACGCUAAUGUCGAAGACUCUCGAUCAAAAAAUACCUCAAUUGAGAGUUGUUGGUCAAAUUUCCUAUUUUACCUUCUUUGUAUUCAGCUCGCAUCGCGAGGUAUAAGAAAGGUAUAUUGCAAAGUUGAAGGGGGUACCGGAAACGCGGUAUCGUGGUAAAAGUAGCUAUACUACGGUAUGCUCUGUGCGGUAAUAACAGUGCACAAACUGCGGACUACGAUUGCACAAUCAAUUGUACUCGCGUGGCCAAGUUUACGAAAACAGUGCCCGUUUCAUUUCAUUUUAUUUCACUUCGUUCCUAUUGAUGUUACAUACGAAUAAGGUAUUUUGAACGGAGAACGCAGAGAUUAUUAUACGCUGAAAUUGAAGUUAUUGUUAUACAUCUAAAUAAUCCAAUAAAUGCAUUUUUCUAAGUUCACAAUAAAUCUUAAUAAAUUCCUCACUGAAGGGAUUAAUGAAGACAUCUUAUUAAAAUCUGUGUAGCAACACAUAUGAAAUAAAGUUUAUAAAUUUAUGAUUUAUUUUUAAUCUAAC